rnacentral:lncRNA from 1 species
UUUAGUUAGCUCUCCUCCUUUUGCAUUAGCCUUACCCUGUAUUUAUGUUUGAGCGUAGAUGAUGUAUAGGGUGAGGUUGAGGGAAUGGUGUAUACAUUGUAUAGUUUUGAAAGAACGCAAGUUGUAAUAACUGUAUAAAGUUAAAUGGAUCAAUAGAUAAGUAUCUCUCUCUUUUAUCACUUGUAUACCUUACUUGUGUUGCUUGCUCUUGAUGGUUAAGCACUGAUUGUGCUCUCGUGGCUGUUAAAUGAUUGUGUCCGUAAUCAAGUUAUUUCCUGGGAACUUGUGGUACACAAUCUUGUUGUUGGUGCCUUGGGCGGACAGGGAAGGUGCUGUCCGUUCGGCGGUCCGUUCGCCGCGCCUGAACUGUGCCAAAUUGGUAGCGGGCUCGGGGCGGGGGCGUGACAAAAACUGCAAGGACUUAAAAAUUUCUUUUCAGUAUUGGUUGACAAAAAAAAGGUUGAAAAGGUGACAACCUAUGUUAACUAAAAUAUUACGAAAGCACGAUAAAGUACAAGCUCUGAAAUCACCUUGUUCGUAAAUCAUGAUUCAUCAACUUGAAUGGGCUACACUUGUGUGGUUUAGUGAAAAUGUAUAUUAAACAACAGUUACAGCAUUGAGCUACAAAAUAAAAGAGAAAAGAAAAAAAAAAAAAACAUUUGAGCGCAAAUUUUAUCUGUUCAUCGAAUUCAAAGUGCGGAUUUUUCCACAUGAUCCCUACAUUUUUACUUUCAUCAUCCUCUUUAUCGAGGUUCUUCAAGAAAAUGUGAAAAUAUCGACCCCUUCCGAAGCUUUAUAAAUUUAUAUCUUCUAUACAAAUAUUCUUGGAGAAAAUCUUCGAUUCCGCGCUACCUGAUCAAGCUUCCGGCACUUUUGUAACAAGGUUGGUAUUCUCCUGCAGUGUCAUAAAAAGGCAAAUAGUGAAUGAAAAAUCUGAAGCUCAGGGAAAGUAGGGUUACGUAUUAAUACAAAUUGACCAAUGAAGAUGAUUCUCCUUUAGAUAUAUGAUCGAAAUUUGUUUUCGAAAUUUCUACACCACUAAAGGGUUGACAUUGAUAAAGCAAAUAAUCCUAAGGAUAUGAACUAAGAAUAUAUUCCGCACGCAAUUCCAAGGAGGGUGUGGAAUAAAGGCACUAAUUAUGUUGCAUAAAAGAUACGGAUAAGGAAAACGAAAAUGGCUCUAGAGGAUGUAGAAAAGCCAACCUUGUCUUUCCCUCCUCACUAUAUAUUCAUGUUGAAUCCAGCAAACAAGUUAGCACGCCGAGAGAAGAAGAGAAGUCUUGCGUGGUGAUAAGAGCUAAUCUUUGAUAGCCAAGGAUGACUUGCCUGCGACCUCUUUGAAGCCUUUGUUAACUUCGAAAGCUGCGUGUGGUCUCAUAGGCGAUCUCCUUGGCUAGUCUAAGUGGCCCUUAUCUCCCCAUGCUAGACAACAAUCUUCUAUAUAAUCAAAUCGAUAAAGUAGAGAAGUAGAUAUAUAUUUAACUCGUGACAGCUAUACACAUAAUUACCGGAAAUGUCAGAGCAAUUCCAUGCCACAUUUCAAUUGGCCUAACCUGUUAAAACGUCUACAAAAUAGAGAUAACCUUAUAUAUGUUUUAUCGUAUGGUUUCUACCGUGCUCUUGUGUACUUUUCUAUAUUUUUUUAAAUGAACCUUCAUGUCAAGUGCAAAAUGGCAACUGUUGGAUAGCGGUGGACAGAUAGGGAGACGAGAAAGAGAAAGAAGAGAAGAAAUAACCUUGGUCACAUCUAAUAACAUAUCUUACAGUUUCAUUGCUCAGAACCUGAUUACACGGAGGUCCCUUAGGGCUUGUUUAAAGACUUUUUAAGACGAGAACUUUUGCAACCAAAUGAUUUGUCGUUACCUACAAGAUUGUUUACUUAUGUAACACUGACAACUUAAAAUAGUUAUCCUUAUAUUAAUGGAUAUUUUGAUAUCCAAAGUACUUACUAAACAAAAAUCCAAAAAAAUACUGAAAACUACAGAUAGUAGAUUUGACUUGACGGAUCUUUGACUCAGCCGAACUCAACCAGACUGAACCAAUACUAAAACACAUUUCAAACAUCUUCUAGUGUGGGCCUAUGUGGGGUGUGACAAUUUUCCAUGGUUAAUUUCAAACAUCCUUAUAAGGAACUACAAAUCCAUGUGGCAGAUCAGAAGGACUAAAAUCUAUAAUAAAGUAAUAACAACAAAAGAAUCGUAGAACUUUCAUGAUGGUGAUUGCUGAAAAACAAAACUGCUGAAACAGUGAUACAAAAAGCACAAUACGUUCUGAUAUGUCAUAAUUCAUUAUCUUGAACAACUAAUGUAAGUUCGUAGCAUGUUAUAUUAGUAUGACAGAAUAAUUGCAUAAAACAAGUAACCUGAUUUUCAAAUAUAAUUAUAUGUCCUUGGAACUAAUACAAGAAUUUCUUCGUAUAUACGAUCUUCAAUUUACCUUCUAAAAGGGAUUCAACGGACAGCAUUUAUCUCUUACUAAAUCUUUAUAUACACACAUAACUUGCUUUUUCAAGUAAAGUAGUUAGUAUAAUCUAUUGCAGCAACUUCCUGCCAAUAUUAUUACAACCAGCAUACAGUCAAAAAUUUUCACGAGUAUACAGGUUAGGCUAGUCAGAUUCAUGCAAAAUAAAGUUAAUAACCAUUCAAAAGGAUAUCAAUGUGAUUGAUGCUGAUCACACAAGAUAAUUACACAUAUUAUUCGAUAAAUUCUGAAUGGAUAAAUAGUAACUAAAGCUUCUUAAACUACCAUUUGGUGCGGCAUAUUUUUCAUUGAUCUCACGUUGAUAAAUAGUAGCAUACAUUCUAUAUCAAUUUCGAUCUCUCCCUUUCAUUGUUACUACCUCUUCCUCUUGUUUCUUCCAAUCAGGCUAAAUCUCAAAACAAAGUUUACAUAGUUGAUGCAAAGUUUAAGAUGGUUUUUAAUUUCUAAGUGGUGUCUUGAGAAACAAAAAAAAAAAGAAGCCAAAAUUGAAACAAUAUGCUUAGCAAGCAUAAAUUUUGCACAAAAUAUCAUAAAGCGUGAAAAGUUAUGUUAGAUACUAAUGGGCCAUAAAAAUAUCACCUAAGAAUCUUGGAGCAAUCACCCACAAUGACGAGAAGCAAGAACAAACAGAAGAAGCAGAUCAAGAGCUUAACAACGAUAUACACUACAUGUUGGAGGAAAAAAGCAUGCAAUAACUUGGCUUGAAGAUGCGUGGACUGCUGGGAAGAUACGUCCAUGCCCUAAAUUUGGCUUUCAUUUCUACUCUCCACUUUUCAUAGAAUAUAUGGAUGAGAUUAGCUUGUUUUGUUGCAUAGUUAUAAAAAUAGUAGCAUCCCAAAAUCGUUAGGCAUGCAAAAUCAAAACAGACAUAACACCGGAUUGUCCCCAGGUAGUUGAUUUGACGAUGAACCUUCGCUUCCACCAUUUUUUCUGCUAAAUAAUCUUUGAUUAACCCUCAUUUCUAGGCUCAUAGCCCUUGCCUGCAUUUUUUCUGUUAUCCUCUGAGAAUGAAAACACUAUUCUAACUCUCACAUUCAAUUCUAUGAGCAAAGCAAAAAGGAAACAAAAUUUUGCAUUUAUCCCAACUCCUUUAAGCUUGUAAAUCAUUGAAAAUUUGUGUCAACAAAUCUAGCCUUAAUUCUACCGAAACAAAAACCAUGGAAUUCAACAAAAAUAGAAUAAAAAAGGGAGAACAUGAUAGAGAGUUUUGGUUUAAAAUAAUUUAAUCAAUAGACAAAUGAAUGGCAGAUCUUCUUCAAUUAAUGAGCAAGAAAGAAAGCACAAAGCUGUAUUUUGUUGAAAUUGAACACCAUCAAAAUCCAUGUAUGACACAGCAAAUGGCCUUUUUUGAUGAGUUGGACGCUGAAAUAUUCACUCUAAUAGAUUAGUUCAGGACCAAACCUAGAUAUCUUCUGCUCACAAUUUUCUUUUCAUUUUUCCUAAGUUCAGAUUUCUUCAAUUUUUGUGCUGGUUCCUGAAUUGCUCUCUCUGUUUGAUCUCUUAUUGGUUGUUUUAGAUGUGCCAAUUUGAAAUGUCAAUACUGCUUAGUUGACAGUAAUGACACUUAGACCAAGGAUUUAAGUGCCGUGGCACGGGGUUGUGUCGUAAACUUGCCGACACGGUACGGCAUGGCACGUGCCGAGUAGUGCCGAUGCGUGCCGGUCAAAAAAAUUCUUGUGUGCCGACACAUAAUAGCAUGAAAUAUUUAUUUUCUUUAGCAACAAAAUAUUCUAACUAUUUAAUAUUUCUUUUUAUCACAUCUUUUGAACUUUAUUGAGAAAAUUACGUACUAAUUUAAAGAAUAGAGGGUUUUAAGCUGUGCCAUCGGCAUGGGGUCUGUAUCGUGUCGGUAUCUUGUUGGCACGGUACGGCACGAUGGAUACGGCUCGUGCCGACUGGCACUUAAAACCUUGACUUAGACUACACUCGAGUAAAUAUCAAAUGCAAAUCGAAGAACCAAAUCUUCCCUUAGUGGUACAGGUCACUUAUUUCAGAAAGGGGAACAAAUUGUUCGCCAAAUCUCUCCAAAUACAUCUCAUGAAGAAAUGUUUUGUUAUUUGGAAAUUAUAUUAGCAUCCAGCCCUACUUAGAACCGGUCAAUAUUCGCGAUUAGUGCCAAAAGAGGAAAGUGGCGAUAACAAUUAGACGAAAGAGGUUCUCAUAUUCCGAUCAUUUUUGAAUCAUGAAAUACACAAGGCCCUAAGAUAUGUAAAAUAUAAAGAAUUUUUGUCAGCAAUAGUAGAACAACUGGAAAAAUUAUUGGUGAUAUAGCAAACCCUCUCUGAAAGUAAAUGUUUCAACCGCAUAAUUUUUCCGAGUCAGAGCACAAGAAGAGUUGACCAUGGUAUGGACAACAAUUCUAGCAAUUUGAGUCGAGAAUAUAUUCUAAAUAAACUGAGGUCACUAUAUCAUUUAAAGGCAACAAAAGAAAACAGCACAAACCAGCAUAGUUCUAAAGGAAUUGCAAAACAGAAUCUGAUCUUUCCAUGCUUUCCAUCCUUUCUCACUAUAAAUACACAGUGAAGCGAUGAACCAGUACAAGCCAAUCAAAUAACCUAAAAUAGCAGAAGAGAAGUCUUACAUGGUGAUAAGAGUUUAUCUUUGAUAGCCAAGGAUGACUUGCCUGCAACCUCUUUGAAGCUUUUGCCAACUAAGGCUACAUGUGGUUCCAUAGGCAGUCUCCUUGGCUAGCCUAAGUGGCUCUUAUCCUUCCAUGCUAGACUGUAAUCUCUUCUAUAUAGUCAAAAUUGGUAAGUUCCAAAUAAAUAGGCCAAAGAGAUCCUUUUAUAGUAAGAACACUUAUUAUAACAAUAUUUCCAAAGAAUUUUUAAAGAAUAGAUUUUUGUAGAGUACUUCAAGAUUGAUGCCAACAAUUUUAAAUAGGCCUGCAUAAAAUGAUCACCUUUUUUUUUUUUUUUAAAUUCUGUGAUAUUCUCAGGAUUCUCGUGCUUGGUGGCAUGUUUGAUUUGUACCUGAUGGGUUGAUUUAGGACAACACUUUUUUCCUUCUCAUGUCACGGAGCAAAAGAAAAGUAUUUUAUGGAUGGUAUCCUAUAUAUGACUUACUAUUUCUUUAAUAGUUCAAGUUAUGGUGGCCAAUCGGGUUUUAGCUGUAAGAUGGUUUUUGCGUAUUAAUCAAAUGCAAGGAAAGCAAUACAGCAUUAAUAGGAAAUAUAAUUCGAAGGAUGAUUACAUAAAUUGCUUCUAUCGGCAAUUAUCCAUGAAGAAGGUCCUCACCUUCAUCCUCAGGCACAUCCAUUUUGUAGUGGAGAUAUGCCUAGCAAUUUCUCACUAAAUGGACAACCACUUGCCAGAUUCUACGAAAUAGGGAGUUACUCAAACUAUCCACACCUUUAUUUUUCUAUCAGGCCUUGAAAGCCAAAGUUUUAGACAGGAUAUCAGUGCUUGUUUUGAACUUUCAUAAAGCACAAGUUAAUACAAGCUUCUGCAACUUUUUGCAAUAAGUUGUAUCAAAAGUAUAUUACGUAUACUGAUGUUAGCUCAUUAAUAUAUUCAAGAGAAUGUCAAAUAUUCAAUACAAAAAAGAUCAUCAAUAUAAGCCAUUGGCAAUUGAGUAACUAUUUCUAAAAAGCAAGAUUAGACAUCUCAAGAUAGUAAUGUAUUGUUUCGAACAAUUUUUUGACUGUCAGCUUUAAAGAGGAUGGGGCAUAAUAUAACUCAUCAUUUUAUUCUCUUUUCAAUAAAGGCAAAGGACGAGAUCUGCAUAGCCUUCAGCUUGAACAUAAAACAAGGAUUCCUGAGAGAUUUGUUGGCUAUUUAUUAUUGGCUAAAAUAGGUCCACUUUCUGCUCCAUGACAAUAGGCCCAAAAGACUAAUAAAUGAGUAGGGUGAGCCCAAAAAGUUGAGUGGGGAUGCAAUCCAUAAUAGACCUAACAACAAGAGACCCAAAAAUAAAUCUAACGUUCAGGUGGGUUAAGUCAGGUCGAAGCCCAUGAGCUCUGUAGCUGAGCCCUUUAGUCUGAUGGGUGCGCCCUUCCUAUCAACAUAUGCUUUUGGGACAACCAGUUAACGCUUACAAUCCACAAGAUUUACAGAAAACAAAAUAACAGAAACAAAUGAUAAUGGGCAGGUUGCAUGAAACAUGCCUCUUUACGUGCUCAUAUCUAAACAGAGGAUACAGAUUACUAUGGCUAUGUAUGGUUAUGGUUGAUGAUGUUCUGAACACAUCAAAGGGCACAAAAAAUCUGGAACAGAACACACAUUGAAUUCAGUUCAGAAGAGAAGCAUACGCCCCAAAUAAAUAAAAAGAAGGAAGCAUCUGCAUCACCUUCAAUUGUAUUUGUUGCUUCAAUUCUAUGCAAUAAGCUUACUCUGUGGAGUUUUUUCCAUAAUAAAAUUUAAAACAAAAAAAACCAAUUUGUUCAGCUAUUGUUUGAUGGAAAAUGAACAAAAAACACUAUCUAACUUAAACAGAUAGUAAAACCGAAAAAAAGAUAAUAGAACCAAUCGCACAAAACAAGAAACCAUGAACAUAUACAAUAGAAGCAACGGUGUAAAACCAAUAAACCUAAAAAUAUAUAUUGUACAGAGGGUUAGAAAAGCUAAACACUUAACAAAUGAAGCAAUGAUUGAAGCAAUGAUCGAGAAGUAGUACACAUUAUACCCUGAAAAGACUUCCCAGUAUCCUUCAUACUAAAUUAUCUACCAAAAUUGUAAUUCAGUAAAAAGAUUAGAAAAUAUAGAUUAAUAACGAGCAAGGUUGAUUGAUUAAAGGGCAUGAGCAGUGCAUAUUGAUUGAAAUUCGAAUUGUAGUGCAGAAUUAUCCAUCCAAAGAGCAGCAUCCAAUCGGCCAGAUCAGAUUAUAUACUAUUUGACAAAUUAGAUAACAAAAAAGAACAAAUAAUCCACAACAAAAGGAAAUUUUGGAAUCUUCAAGAAAAAAAAGCUUACAACUUGUUCCCUUCAAAUCACGCAUUAGCAUAUCUACACCUUGAAACACAAUUUGACAUUCUUUUUUCAAGUUUUCAGUUAAGAUUCUAUUCUCCCACUCACUUUGAUAUUCUCGCAAAUGGCUCAUCCUAUACUUUUUUAAUAUCACGCAAAAUUCUUGAUAAAUUUGCUGCAAAGUCAAACCCGCGAACCCACAAAGGAAAUAACCAGAAUGUUCAAGUGACUCAUACUACAUAUUGAUGUUGAUGGAUGGUGUGGAAUUCACAAAGACUAAAAGCGAACCUUAAAAGCAGCCGUAAUCGUUUUCUAGCCAUCUUGCACUGAAUGUUCUUAUAUUCUAUUACGAUUGCAGCACCUCACUCUACAAAUGGUCAAGAAAGAUUCUGAUACCAAAAGCCGAAGAAUAGAUUACCGUCCUUGAAAAUUAUGUAACCACUGCGUUUCUAGCGUUUGUAGUCAAAGACUCAAAAACAACUGCUGCAGAAAAUAAAACAAGAUAUACAACACUGAAGCUCUCUCUCAGUGUCCAUACGCAAAAGCCCAUUAAAAAAGGCAUAAGAGGGAUAUAUUCUUAAGUGGUGGCAAUUUGAGCUUACAAAAAGUUAUAGACAAGGAGAUUUCUUUUUGCCUCUCUGGAUCUAACGGAAAGACAUAUAUUGAUCUCUUGUCUUGGAAAUACUAUAAAUAGAUGCCGAGGCAAGCAUUACGAACCAACCGAGUGGAGCAAGUCGAGCGUAGCUGCAGAAGAGAAGUCUUACAUGGCGACGAGAGUCUAUCUUUGAUAGCCAAGGAUGACUUGCCUGUAACCUCUUCGGACGUUUCUUUACAAUCGAAAUACUCUAAAAAAAAGCACCUUAUGGUUUACACAGGCAGUCUCCUUGGCUAGUCUCAGUGGCUCUAAUCCUCCCAUGCUAGACUACAUUGAUCUCUUCUUUUAUCAUCAAACAAGAUUCUUCAUGAUGCUUCAAAAGUUUUAUAUCAGUAUAUAUCCCCGAACUUCCAAACACAGCGCAAUUUCAAAAAAACCAGGUUUUUCCGGUCGUAAAAUCACCUAAAAUACUUCUCGUAUACGCAUAUGCUUAAUUAGAGGUUAAAGAGGUCACUUUGCAGGGAAAAUCACAAGAUGAGAUGGUUCUAAGGUAAACAAUCUAAAUCUAGGCUGCAAAAUUGAUUGCUUAACAAACUCAAAUCUUCUACCUAAUGAUUUCUCAUAUAAAGUUGAAUGCAGUUUUUCAAUUCUCACCCCUCACAUGGGAAUGGUGAAUGGUGGCCCUUCUUUUGAAAACCCUAAAAACCCCAAAUUGGACAACCCAAAUCUUUACCGACUUAGACAUGCUGAGAUAUUGAGCACUAUCCUUGUCUACUAUUUACCAAGCUAGAUUUUCUCCUAAUUCUUUCUCCUUUCGAGUAGUGUCUGAGAUUCCUGGUUAAAUAUCGCUCAAUGUGCCUUUGUUAUGUAGCAUGCAGAUUACAAGAUGAGGAAACAGAGUUAGAGAUCUUACGAGCUGAUGAAGAGAGAGAGAGAUGAGUGAGAUCCUGAAGCUUAAGCUCCUCCUGGAUUGGGCCAAGCGAUCGAAGCCGAAUACAGAUCCUUCACUAUUUCUAAUUUUUCUUUUUCCCCUGUUGUUUUUUUUUUUUUUUUUUUUUUUUUUUUUUUUUUUUUGGUGUUGUGGUGUGUAGUAAAAAAUGUAUGGAAACCACUCAACGGAAGUAUCCUGUGCCGCUUACAUCAUAUCAUUAAUAUUCAGUUACGGAUCGUUACUUGAGCAAGCGACAAACGGCUUGAUGGUUGAUACUCGAGACCCAAGUUCGAAUUCUAGUUGAUUCACAUUUUCAACUAAGUUUAUUUCUAAAUAAAAUAAACGAAGCGAGUAACGUGCUACAUAUCUCUCAAAAAAAAAAAAUCAGUUAGUUAUAUCUUAUUUUUAUCUAUUUGUCUAAGCAAUUUAUGAUCGGAUCUACUUGUCUAAGCAAUUUAGUGUGAGAAACUUAGUGUAGAGUCAAAAGAUUAGUGUAGAGUCAAAAGAUUACUUGUCUAAGCAAUUUAUUAUCGGAUCUACUUGUCUAUCGGAUCUACUUGUCUAAACAAUUAGUGUAGAGUCAAAAGAUUAAAAAUUUGAAUCUACAUUGUCUCAGCAAUUUAGUGUGAGAAACUAAAUAACUCUUGUGAGCAUGUGGGACUAAUCAUGGAAAGAGUGAUAAUAAUAGAACAUAAUCAAUUGGUGCAUCCAAUAGAGUCGAAUCCGAGUGAUAUGGGUUAGGCAUAUGGAUUUUUUUGGUAAGUGGAUUCGCAAUGACUAGUAAAGGAUGGCAGUAAGAGAGAGAGAGAGAAAAGAAAACGAGUUUAGGAGUAAAUUCGAAACAGAUAAACAGAUAAAUUUUAUUUAUUUUUAAAAAUACAUACUAUUUUUUUUCAAUAAUCAUGAUGGAAUGGUUGAAUUUAAAAAAAAAAAAACGUUCUAAUUGGUUGAAAACGUCAUAUCAGUAAUAUAAUUGGUACUUUGUAAACUUUUUAGUUCCCGCCUCGAUUCGCCCCGCACACAAUGAUGAGUGAGAAUUGAAAAUUAAAAACUAAAAUUUAUCUAUUUCGAAUCUAUCCAAAUCCGAUAAUAAAUAAAGCGGAAGCUGGGAGACUCUUCCUAUCCCGGAUCCAUCGCGUUUGCAUCCCUAGACCCCUCAGAGCGUUUUCUUUUCUCUCUCUCUCUUUCACUGUCACCCUUAACUAGUCAUUGCCAAUCCACUUAUUUAAAAUCCGUACGCCUAACACAUAUCACUCGGAUUCAACUCUAUUGGAUGCGCCAAUUUAUUACGUUCUUCUUCUUUUUUUUUUUGAGAAAAAGGUAGCACGCUACCCGCUUCAUUCAUUGAAAGUAUGAACUAGGCUACAUGGGUGAGGCAACAUGGGCCUCGAGAGAGCGGAAAAAAAGAAAGAAAAAAAAGAAGAAAGGAGCGGGUGGGGAGGGGGGCGGCGGUUUAGGGAGGGGUUUGUUUUGCUGGAAUAAGAUAAUCCCACUCCGACUAUAGCUGUUUAAGCUUGUGUACUACUAACAUAGGAUUCGGCUAAAUAUUUCUAAAGAUCAUAUCAUUUCUUGCCUUCCAAAUAGACCACCAGCAUCCUACCAAUUCGGAUAAGCUGCUUCUCGUCUUAUGGCAUCCCUUCCUAUACAUCCACGAUACCAAAACUAGGAUUACAUCGUUUCCCAGGUCCCUCGCCUGUACGCCGUCCACUCCCGUCGCGAUGAUAAACUUGCUGAACACACACCGCGUGAACAGGUGGUCCACUGAUUCCUCUUCCGCUCCGCAAAACACGCAAUCUAAGUUUCCCACCCACCCACGCUUCACGAGUAAAUCGGUUGUAUGGAGCCUCUUCUUGAGAACGAGCCAACAGAAUACUUUUACUUUAAAAGGAAUAUGGAGUCUCCAAAUCCUGCAUAUAGAAGGGGCCCUCAUUCCCCCGUUAGAUAACGCUAAAUAGGUCGUAUUUACCGAGAAAAGUCCGUUAGGGCUCCAAUGCCAAUAUAACUGGCCUGACCUUUGUUCAACUGUGAAGUAGGAUAUCCUUUCCUUGAAUUCUACAAUGUUAUCGUUAAUUCCAACAAAAAUUUCGGGCUCCGCACCCAGAAUCCUAUGCCAGUUCCAACCGUCCCUCGUGAAGCAAUCCCUGACUUUAAGUUUUUUUCACUCGGACAUCUUAUAGACCUCCGGGAAUGCUUGGUCUAGCGUGGUCUCCCCACACCAGCGAUCUAGCCAAAAAUCAAUAGAGUUCCCAUUGCUUAGUUUAAAGAUGGCUCCCCAUUUGAAGAUGACGCUAAGGCUAAGGACUCCUUUCCACCGGUGAGAGUGUGGCCUAAAAGAUUUGCCUUCCAUCAAGGUCUCCUCCUUUGGUAGUAUAGGCCCCGGAUUACUCUAUUCCACUGCAAUUGGGGAGCCGUGUGGAACUUCCACCACCAUUUAGUUAGUAGGGCAUGGUUCAUGGUCAUUACAUCCAGGAUGCCUAGGCCCCCUUCUCUCUUGCUCUUACAAACGUUCUUCCAAGCUAUCAGACAUCCUUUGCCAGGAGAGUUACGUCCCCCGUUCCAAAAAAAGUCUCGACGGAGAGCUUCGAUACGCUUUAUCACCCAUUUAGGUGCCUUGAACACCGAAAGAAAAUAGAGUGGGAAGUUUGUUAGAAUAGCGUUUGCUAGGAUAAGUCUACCCCCCCUAGAGAGUAGUUUGGCCUGCCAACCAUCGAUCUUGCACUGAACUUUCUGAAUGAUGCCCCUCCAGUCCUCCUUAGAGGGGGGUUUGGGAGGGAGAGGCAAGCCCAGAUAUUUGGUCGGGAAGGAGCCAACGCGGCACUCGAGUAAAUUUGCUAGAGUACUCGCUUUUCCUUCUAUAUGUCCAAGGUAGUACAAUUUUAUUAUCACUCUUUCUAUGAUCAGUCCCACAUGCUCACAAGAGUUAUUAAGUUUCUCACACUAAAUUGCUUAGACAAGUAGAUCCAAAUUUUUAAUCUUUUGACUCUACACUAAUUGUUAGGAGGUUCUAAUUUAACCAAACCCACAUGGCCCAUGAAUAUUAUGUUUUUAUUGCAAUCCAUCCAACUCAAAAUCUUAAACAUCUAGCAAUAUGAAUAGGAAUUUCAAUGGGUUGGAUUCAAGGGGAAUUUUUUAAAACCCAAACUCGAUCAAAAUUUCGAAACCCGAAUUUGAGACCUGAACCCGAAAUUCUCGUUUUGUUAGAUGAUUCAUGAUUCAAAAAUGAAAAAUUACACGAAAGAUACAAUCAUACAAUGAACUCCGCUCUCUUGCUCUAUCUUUAAGAAGAGUAUGUAUAUUCUGCAUGAGGGAGGUAAUGAAAGAAUCUACAUCUAAACGAGUAGCAAUUUGAAGGUACACAACGAAAGAAUUAAUAGCUAUGAACAACAAGAAUUUGUGUGGCUCCCUUUUUUGUCUAGGGCAUUUAUAUAUAUGGUUUAUAUUCUCUUUCAUAUAGAUGUUGAGACAAGCAAUUCAAAGAUAAGUCUUGGGGGAAAAAGAAGAGAAAUAUUACACCGGCAUAAGAGUCUUAUAUCUUAGGUAGCGAAGAAUGAGUCAUCAGUGGCCUCUCUUUUUGAAGACUUAGAUUAACUCUGAAACUCCAUGUGAUUUUUAUGCGCAAUCUCUUUGGCUACUUUAAGAGCAUGUUUGGUUGAAAAUGAGAAUCGAAAUCGGAAUAGAAAAAUAAAAUAGUGACUUUAGUUGGUUUACAAUAGUAUUUGAAAUCAGAAUCAAUUUAUUAUUAUUAUUUGGUUAAGAAAAUUUUAGUCUACUAUAUAUAUUCGUAAUCAAAUUUUAAACUCAUAUUAAUUGACACUCAUAAUUUAUGUUCAAAGUCAAAAUAUCAAAUUUCAAAAUAUAUUGAAAUUAAAAUUAAAAUUAAAAUUUUAAAUUAAUAAAAUUUGAAAUUAUAUUAUAAAGUUCAAUUGUAAUUUAAUCUAAAUUUAAAUUUAUAUGUAUAUUUGAAUUUAAACAAGUAUUAAUUAUUGGGAAAAAAAAGAGCUCUUUACUCAAUCCCUCCCCAAAUCAAAAUUGACUCUCACCUGUAUUUUGUGAGUCAUUUCGAAAGGAUCCGAUUCCUCCGGAAUAGAAAUCGGAAUGCUAAUUAAUUCCGCAAAUCGAAUAUCAAUAUGUGAAUGGCUCAUUCUGAUUCCUAUUUCAAGCCUCAAUUCCUUUCAACCAAACACGGCUCUUAUCCAUCAUGCAUGCUAGUCUUAGAUCCCUUUAAUAAAAGACGAAGGAUUUUCACAUUACUGGAGAAUACAACUAUGAAUAAGUAGAGAUAUUCAUACUAUUAUUCAUAGUUGUAAUUGUAGUUCUUGAAAUAAUGUCCAAGAUCAGUCCUAAGGUGCAAUUACCAAUAUUAGAAACUUGCAUGACUGUACUAUCAUCUUAUAUAUGGCGCUGAGACUAUUUUUAGAUUAUUAGUUUUUCGUUGAUAAAUCAGUAUUUUGCUAGUAACAAAUUGUUAAUACUAGACCUACACCUCUCGAUUUCGAGUGGUCAUAACUUUAAAUCUUAUAUAUUCAAGGUUAAUGAACGAUACAGAUCAAUCUCUACCUAUUUCAUAAACGUUUUAAGCCGUGCAUGAUAUAUAUUCAUAAGUCUCACUACAAAACACCUUCCAUUAUUGCGCCUAUGAUGCUUGAUCAUCAUGCCUUACAAACAUUGCACGCAAGAAAUCAAACUUUCCAUCUUUUAAUAAAUAGUAAGAUACCUACGAACUGUACAAACAACAGGACUCUCUUUAUCAUCUCUCUCUCUCUCUCUCUCUCUCCCUCUCUCUCUCUCUCUCUCUCUUUCGCUUCAUUACUAUGGGCUCACCGAACGCACUAAACUUGAUUAAAGUUGUCCUUCAUUUCCCUGUGCAACGCCAUUUAGUAAACUCACGUGGUUACUGCGUUAUUAUAUAUUCACGUUCUUUCCGUGGCGCAGGACGAGUUAUCCCAUGAUUUAACAGGAGACCAAUAGGCCAUCAUGCGGUACGGACUACGGAGCAUUCAAUUGCACCACAUCUGAAGUUCACGUGCCGCAUCCCAUCAUAGCCGUCCACUCCGCAUCUAACGGCGAAGCGAGCGCCGUACCGUUCGCUCCUACCGUCGUCUUGUAGCCUGCUUGGUUGGUGGUCAUGUCCUUUUUCGUAUCGUAGUCUCCAUUGUAGUACUAUCGUAUUUUAUAUAUAUAUAUAUAUAUAUAUAUAUAUAUAGUUGGACUGGACUGCUAUUAAUAGCAAAAUUUUAUUAUUGCUACUAAUUUUUUAGCCUUUGGAUCAACUCUUUUCAUUAUUUCUAAUCAUUGAAUUAAAUACUAUAACCCAGUGGAGACCACUCAACCCUAGGCGGACCACUCAACUCUAACCGACUAAUAUCAUCAUGACCCUACAAUUUUUCAUCCAAGGGUUAAAGACUUGAUAGCAAAAAAAACAUUUUACUAUUAAUAGUAUUCCAGCCUAAUUAUAUAUAUAUAUAUAUAUAUAUAGUUCGGUUAUGGUGCUUGUAAAAGCACCAAGUAUUUGGUGCUUGUAAAUUUUUUACCGUUAGAUCUACUCCUCUGAUCAUUUUUAACCGUUAAAUUAUACUAUUUAACCAACCACCCACUCAACCUUAGGGGACCCACAUCAUCCUAACCGUACAUCUCUUAAUCCAACGGCUAAAAAUUUACAAGCACCAAUAACUUAGUACUUUUAAAAGCAUAAGAACUCAAUUCUAUAUACAAAGUUCGGUUAUGGUGUUUGUAAAAGCACCAAGUAUUUGGUGCUUGUAAAUUUUGUACCGUUAGAUCUACUCUUCUGAUCAUUUUUAACCGUUAGAUUAUACUAUUCACUAUCAAAAAAUUUUUAAAAAAAUUUAAUUUUUAAUAUCUGAUCUGUCAAUGCAUUUGAUUUGAAUCGAUCAAUAAAUUUUUAAUUUUUAAAUUUGAAUCCAUUAUUUAUUUUUACAGACUUAAUUCGUAUAUUUUAUACUAAAAUAAAUAAAUAAAUAUUUAUUAUUUUAAAUUGAAUAAAUUAAGAUUUGAUAGUCAUUUAAAAUAGUUUAUAAUUUAGAUAACUUUUGUAUACAUUUACCCUGAAUUUUUAAAAUUUACAGAAUAAAUUUAACGCAUAUUGUCUUUAUUCUCCAUGGAAGAAGACACCUGAACUUUAAUUUUUUUUUUUUUAUUACGACCUACUCAAUUUCUAAUUUUUUUACUUCAAAUUUAUAUAUUUAAUUAAGUUACAAAUUUUAUUAAUUUUAAUAAUUUUACUGGCUAUUAACUAUUGAAUAGUUUAACUUUAUUUGAUAAAAAUUAAUUAAAGUAAUUAAAUGAUAAAAUUACGUAUAAAUUUGAUAGAAUUUUUGUUUUUUUUACUAAUUAAAUCACCUAUUAUUCGAAAAUCAAAGAGUUAAGAGCAGUCUAAAAACCAAGAAAAAUAAAAGUUUAAGGGGUUGAUUUCAAUUCAUUCUAUAGUUGAGGGGGGCUUCUAUAUUAUUUAGGGUCUCCCCUCACAUGAAAUUUUAGAAUGUAAUGGCUAUAUUGGUUACGUGGCGUAACAAAUUAAUCAAAUAUGUUUUUUAGAAAUAUAUGUCCCAUCAUAAUUGUAAAAUAAUAAGGCCAAUUUGCAUAAAAAAUCCACUUAUUUUGAGCUUUUGCAAAAUCGGGCUACCUUUUUCGUUUUUGGAGAUUCGGUCCGCUUUUUCAGCAAACUGACCAAAAUACCCUUAUUACUUUUUCUCUUUCCUCUUUCUCUCUCCUCUUCGUUCUCUCGUUCUUUUUUUUUUUCCGCCGGGAAAAAAAAGCGAAGGCCAGACGGAGCAAUUUUUUCUUCUUUUUUUUUUCCCCUUUUUUUUUCUUCUUCUUCUUCCUCCUGCUGGAGCACCUUUUUUUUUUUUCCCUCUUCUUCUUCUUCUUCUUCUUCUUCUUCUUCCUGUAAGAGCACGGGGCGCGCCACGGAGACUUCCGGCCUCGCCAAGCGGCGUCCACCCGGCGGCGUUUUGCAGGGAGGGGUCGGCACCGGCGACCGUGAGCGCCCCGGCAAGAGUGGGGGCGCGCGGGAGGCGGGCGGCGAGGUGGAGCGGGGUGUCGCAGCCGAGGACGUCGCGCCUGUCGAGGGCAGCGGUCACGCGCGCCGCCCGGCGCUCCGCUCGUGCGGCGUCGGCCGCCGUCGCGAUCUCCGACGGCUGCUUCUUCUUUUUCGUAAUGGUGUAAUAGUGCACGCGGGCCGGUGCACGCAGCGGCGGCGGGCGGGCACGCGGGCGCGCUGCGGCUGCUUCUUCUUCGUCAUAACUCAAUGCUCUUUCUUCUUCGGACAAAGUCAAUAUCAGCAAUUGAAGCAGAUACUGUGCCUAAAUUAUGUAGACAUGUUAAACCAAAUAGUUUGAGAUGAAUAUGAAGAACAUAGCAAAGCUAGUGCACUACUGACCUCCACCGAAGUAUGUUUUUGUUAACAACCUGGCUGCCUCUGUCAAAGAACAAUAAUAUAUUAAAAAGAGCACAAGAUAAUACAUUCCACUCUAUAGAAAGCAGAUAGCUAAACGACCUUUGCUAAAACUUCGAAAAAAAAAAUACAAACGUUUUGCCCACAUAACAAGACCAUUACACCAUUAAUAGUGUAAUGGUGUAAUUACACCAUUAAUGGUGCAAUGGUUACACCAUUAAUGGUGUAAUGGUGCACCAUUACAUUAUUAAUGGUGAAAUUACACCAUUACAUGGUGUAAUUACACCAUUAAAGGUGCACGCGGCCCGCGGAGCGGAGCCGUGGGUGGAGCUUCGCCAGAAGGAGAGAGAGAGAGAAUUUACAAAAUGCGCUUUCCCUGCCGUUUCCUCCUCCUCCUCUUCUUCUUCUUCUUCUUCUUCUUCUUCGUCGUCGUCCUCGGCGGCGGCGCGGCGGAGGAGGGGUCGCCGGCGGCAGCGUAGGUGGCGGCGCUUCUGGCGGUGAGGUCGGCGCUCGCGGACCCGUCGGGCGCGCUCGCGUCGUGGUCCAACGCCAGCUCGUCGGAGCCCUGGCGUCGUGGCACGGGGUGUCCUGCUCUCCCGCGCGGCUCCACCCUCUGGCGGAGCUCCACCCACGGAGCUCCACCUGGCGGAGCUCCACCCUGGCAGAGCUCUCUCUCUCUCUCUCCCUCCCUCUGGCGGAGCUCCUAAAAUGAAAUAAAUUAUGUAAAUUAAGUACGCGCUUACAUGAAAUAAAUUAUGUAAUUAUUUUAUAAAAAAAUCCACUACGUGCUUACAUGAAAGUGUGUUUACAUAAUUUAUUUCAUUUUAGGAUUUGGAUUUUUUAAUUUUUUUUGUAGUUGGAUUUCCGUAGGCUUACUCUACUGUUGGCACACCUGACUAUAUUGCUCUAGAAGUUUUACUGAAGAACGGUUAUAGGAUGGAAUGUGAUUGGUAAGCUAUAUAUCUAGCCCGCAAGGUGUUCGACAAAAUGCCCGUGAGGGACCUGCUCGCGUGGACUGCGCUCGUCCACGGUCGUCCACGGCCUCUUGGGCCUGCGGGGUGAACGCGGGGUCGGUGAGGCGCGCGUACGCGAUGAGGAGAGCCGGGGCGGCGGCAGGGCCGGUGCAGCGGCGGAGCAGGAGGAGGUGGGCGUAGAGGGGGAGGGCGUGGUGGGGCGCGGCAGAGCCGGUGAGGGCGAGGAGGACGGAGGUGUAGGAGGUGAGAUCAGGGCGGGGCAUGCGGAGGAGGCGGGCCUCGGGCCAGGCAGGAGGCGGCAGCGGAAGAAGAAGAGAAAGAGAAAAAGAAAAGGAAAACAAAUAAUGUAAAAUUUUUUUAAAUAGUGCAACUGUGGUCUAAAUAGUGUAAAAUUUAUUCCAAAAGAGUGUAAUUUUUAUAUGUAAUAGUGCAGUUUUUAAUAAAACAGUGCAAUUUUUUAAAAAAACAGUGUAAUCUCAAGAGGCCGUGGACGACCGUGGACGAGCGCGGUCCAUGUGAGCAGGUCCCUCACGGGCAUUUUGUCGAACACCUUGCGGGCUAGAUAUAAGGCUUACCAAUCACAUUCCAUUUCAUAACUGUUCUUCAGUAAAACUUCUGGAGCAAUAUAGUCAGGUGUGCCAACAGUAGAGUAAGCCUACGGAAAUCCAACUACAAAAAAAAUAAAAAAAUUCAAAUCCUAAAAUGAAAUAAAUUAUGUAAACACACUUUCAUGUAAGCACGUAGUGCAUUUUUUUUUAAAAUAAUUACAUAAUUUAUUUCAUGUAAGCGCGUACUUAAUUUACAUAGUUUAUUUCAUUUUAGGAGCUCCGCCAGAGGGAGAGAGAGAGAGAGAGCUCUGCCAGGGUGGAGCUCCACCAGGUGGAGCUCCGUGAGUGGAGCUCCGCCAGAGGGUGGAGCCGCGCGAGGGAGCAGGACACCCCGCGCCACGACGCGUAGGGCUUCGACGAGUUGGCGUUGGACCACGACGCGAGCGCGCCCGACGGGUCCGCGAGCGCCGACCUCACCGCCAGAAGCGCCGCCACCUACGCUGCCGCCGGCGACCCCUCCUCCGCCGCGCCGCCGCCGAGGACGACGACGAAGAAGAAGAAGAAGAAGAAGAAGAAGAGGAGGAGGAGGAGGAAACGGCAGGGGAAGCGCAUUUUGUAAAUUCUCUCUCUCUCCCUCUGGGGAAGCUCCACCCGCAGCUCUGCUCCGCGGGCCGCGUGCACCUUUAAUGGUGUAAUUACACCAUUACACCAUUAAUGGUGUAAUGGUGUAAUUUCACCAUUAAUGGUGUAAUGGUGCACCAUUACACCAUUAAUGGUGUAACCAUUGCACCAUUAAUGGUGUAAUUACACCAUUACACCAUUAAUGGUGUAAUGGUCUUGUUAUGUGGGCAAAACGUUUGUAUUUUUUUUUUUCGAAGUUUUAGCAAAGGUCGUUUAGCUAUCUGCUUUCUAUAGAGUGGAAUGUAUUAUCUUGUUCUCUUUUUAAUAUAUUAUUGUUCUUUGACAGAGGCAGCCAGGUUGUUAACAAAAACAUACUUCGGUGGAGGUCAGUAGUGCACUAGCUUUGCUAUGUUCUUCAUAUUCAUCUCAAACUAUUUGGUUUAACAUGUCUACAUAAUUUAGGCACAGUAUCUGCUUCAAUUGCUGAUAUUGACUUUGUCCGAAGAAGAAAGAGCAUUGAGUUACGACGAAGAAGAAGCAGCCGCAGCGCGCCCGCGUGCCCGCCCGCCGUCGCUGCGUGCACCGGCCCGCGUGCACCAUUACACCAUUACGAAGAAGAAGAAGCAGCCGUCGGAGAUCGCGACGGCGGCCGACGCCGCCCGAGCGGAGCGCCGGGCGGCGCGCGUGACCGCCGCCCUCGACAGGCGCGACGUCCUCGGCUGCGACACCCCGCUCCACCUCGCCGCCCGCCUCCCGCGCGCCCCCACCCUUGCCGGGGCGCUCACGGUCGCCGGUGCCGACCCCUCCCUGCAAAACGCCGCCGGGUGGACGCCGCUUGGCGAGGCCGGAAGUCUCCGUGGCGCGCCCCGUGCUCUUACAGGAAGAAGAAGAAGAAGAAGAAGAAGAAGAAGAGGGAAAAAAAAAAGGUGCUCCAGCAGGAGGAAGAAGAAGAAGAAAAAGAAAAAGAGAAGAAAAAAUUGCUCCGCCUGGCCUUCGCUUUUUUUUCCGGCGGAAAAAAAAAAAAGAACGAGAGAACGAAGAGGAGAGAGAAAGAGGAAAGAGAAAAAGUAAUAAGGGUAUUUUGGUCAGUUUGCUGAAAAAGCGGACCGAAUCUGCAAAAACGAAAAAGGUGGUCUGAUUUUGCAAAAGUCCAAAAUAAAUAAAUUUUUUAUGCAAAUUGGCCAAAUAAUAAUUUUAUUAUACUUUUAUUUGAAAAAAAAAAUGUGGUUGGCUUGCUAUUGAUGAUGCAGUGUAAGUGUGAAGUGUAGAAUUCCACCUCUCUCACUCGUUCCUGCGCCGUGGGAGACACGCUACAGGAAAACAGUGGGACCCACCAAAUCCAAUCAAAUCCCUUCGACAGUGAUCUUCUCCUGAAAAUAUGUGCUGAUCAAUGUAACGCCUACAAACACGUUUUUUUUUUCUUUUUUUUUUACUGACAUGUGGGCCCGGCUCCAAGUCACAUGAGAAGUUGUUGCAACAAAUAGGUUUUUCUUUUGUUUUUGGGUAAAUUUCAAAUGUUAAUAAUGUGGUUUUGUAUUUUUUUUAUUUUAGUAAUAUGUAAUUUAAAGUGUAUUAAUUUAAUAUUAUAUAAUUUUUUUAACUUUUCAUUAAACUAUUAUAUAUAAAAAGCUUCAGAUAAUGCACCUAUAAUUUAUGAAAUAUUCACUUUACUACUCUUUAGUUUUAACUUUGUUGCUACCUUAACAAAAAAAAAUAAUAAAAAAAAGAAAAAAAAAAUAAAACUAUAGGGUACAAAAGUGAUACAUUUUAAAUUACAAGAUACUAAAGUGAGAAAGUGCGAAACUACAGGAGUGGUAUUUGAAGUUUUUUUCUAUGUGUCUAUAUUUAAAAAAUUGUUGUUCAAAUUGUAGCUGAAGAUUCAAUUUUAUUUAUUAAAAUUAUAUCUAAAUUAAUCAUAGUUUCAAAACAAUUAUACUAACUUUAAAUAAAAGAUCAUUUUAACUCCCUUAUCUAAUUUUAAAUAAAAAAUUAUUCUUUUAUAUUAGAGAUAGUCUUACCAUUCCAUAUAUCUCAAUUGUGCAGAGCAAUUAAAUAAAAUACUUGUAAUAAUUGUAAUUAAGUUAAAAUAUAUAAAACUUAUCUAAAUUGUGGGCUAUUUUGAGUCGAAUAUCUAAUCUUUUAAAAAUUUUGAUUUUACUAUCGAAUCUUUCAGUUUAUUUGAUUUUAGUCAAUCAACAGUAAUUUGAAUUUAAAAUUUAAAGUAAUUCUUUAUUUUAAUAAAUAUAUAGUUAUAAUAAUUGUACUAAAUAUACAAAUUAAACUUGUAAAGAUAAACGAUGCAUGUAAAAUUUGAAGUAAGAGUAUUAUUAGCUGAUUCAAAUCAAACAAAUUGAAAGAUUGGAUAUUAAAUUAAAAUUUUAAAAAUGGUAGAUAAAUUUGAAAAUUUUGAGUAGUAGUGAGGCAUAUAUGAGCAAAACCCUCUUAUAAUUAUAUCAAACAAAAUCGGCCGUCCAUUAUAUCAUAUUUACUGAGGGUGGAAGAUCAUCCGACAUUAUUAGAUGAAAAAAUGAUUAAAACAAAACUAUAUAAAACUAUUUUUUAAUAAUAUCAAAUAAUAUUCUUUCUAUUUUUUUUUUUUCUGAUGCAUAAUCUACACAAUUCCAAAGAAUUGGAGCAAGCUCAGACAAUUGUUUUCCCCCUCAUCUAGGAACCAUCUAUUUAGGGCCUAUUUGUUUCACCGAAGGUGAAAUUCAAAUUAAAGUAAAUUUUUGAAUAAACUAGAGUUUUUAUAAAAUUAUUUCACUGUUUUGCUUGUAUAAUUAUGGAAUAAAAGUUUUUUUUAGCUCUAUUAUUUGUUUGAUAAAAAAUAAAUGACAUAAAAAUUAUAGGUACGAAACAUGUGUUAAUAUUUUACUAUUAUUACUAUUAUUAUUAUUAUUGUUUGCAAUAAAUUUCGUCUGAAGUGGACAAAAGUCAAUUAUACUAUUUUUGGAAGUUUGAGAUUGCAUUAAAUAUAAAAUUAUAGUAAAUCAAAUAACAAGAAUUGGCAUUUACAACUAAGGAUAGGAAAGGAGCUGAGCCGGCUCGUGUUCGACACAGUAUUCGGAUUGGUAAUUAAAUAAGUCGAACUUGAAUAGAAAAAGAAAAUCAAAAUUAAUUUCAAACCAAGAGUAUUAUUGGCUCGCUAGAAUUUGGCUUGAAAACCUAAAAUAUGUGCAUGUGUGUGUGUGUAAUAUGUAUUUUAAUUAUAUGGAUAUCUCUUUUACGCCAUUUGGCUAUUUUCUUCACAUAAUAAGACUGACCUACAAAAUCAAAUUAAAAAAUAUACCUCUCCCUCUCUAGGUCAUUCUUUCUCUUUUUAAUAAAAUUUUACCUCACUUCUCUCGUUGUUUAUGAUAUUUUGUUUCAUAUCAGUUAGAUCAAUCAGAUUUGGAAUUGUGAACAGCAAGAAAAGUGCUAUUCAUUUGAUAAAUCGAACGUGUGAAUCUUUUUUUGAGCAAGAAUAUAGUGAAAAAUUAGUAUAUUUAUACUAAAAUUUGAUUUUACUUAUGUAUGAUUGUGAUUGGAUAGUUCAAUUAAUUUCUUGUUUAUAUAAUUUAUUUAUUUUUUGAUAAUAUAGAUGAAAUAGAAUGGUACGAAUGUUGGAGACGGAAGGAAAACCAUGAGAUUAGAAUAAAAAAUAUAAAUAGAAUUGAACAUCCAUUACAAAGUUAGAUAUAUAAACUCAUAAAUUAUUUUUCUUAAUAUUAUACUAUAAUAUUUUAUAUAUUGAGUCCAACUAUCGAUAACACUAAGGGCUUUGUGUUAUCGAGUUUUCCACCGUCAGAUUUAAUUCUUUAAUUAUUUUUACCUAUUAGAUUAUAUUAUUCAACCAACUACCUACUCAACCUUAAGGGGCCCACAUCAUCCUAACAGCACAUUUCUCAAUCUAAGAACUAAAAAACUAAUAGCACCAAUAGCUUGGUGCUAUUGAUAGUAUUCCAAUCUAGUUCUUAUAUAUUUACUUUAUAUGUUGGACUAUCAGAUAUAUUUUUAUGUCAAAUUCUAAAUAAUAUUCUAUAAAAAUUAAACUUUAGGUUACACGAUAUUAAAAAUUCCAAGCGGCUUGUUUAGAAUUUGAGUUCACUCGACUUGAAAUUAGACUUACUCAAAUUAAUUUCAAGUCAAAUUUAUACCUGAAUUUAGAUUCAAAAUUAAUUUCAAGCAAAACUUAAGCUAAGAUAAACUCAUUGGUGGUAAGUUCUCAAUUCUCUUCCACCCCUAUUUAGAAUGGAAAAUAAAUUCAUCACUCUUUCUUUUUGGUGAAACAAAUGCCCCCCAACCUAGUCAAUGCUAUGCUGUGCUGACCAACUUUCCCCUAUACUUUCUAUCAGUCUUUAAGGCACCCAGUUGGGUCAUCAAACUGCUUGAAGCUCUACGCAGAGAUUUUCUCUGGAGUGGCCAAAGCAGCAUCUCAGGUAAGGGAUGCCUGGUUGCAUGGAAAAACGUCUGUCUGAGCAAACUGGUAGGUGGGUUAGGCAUUUUGGAUGUCGCAAACAUGAAUCGAGCAGUUUUAGUUAAAUGGUGGUGCAGAUUCCAAACAGAGCCCCACCUGCAGUGGAUCAAGAUUUUACGAGCGCUCUUUUACCGAAGGAGGAAGCCCCUAUGGGAGGGCAAUUGCUUCCGGCCACACUCACACUGGUGGAAAGGGGUUUUAACAACCAAGGAUAUUUUCAAAUGGGAAACCUGCUAUAAGCUGGGCAAUGGGUGUUCUAUUGACUUUUGGUUUGAUAGAUUGUGCGGGAAACCACGUACUCUCUAAACAUCCUUCCCGGAGGUGUAUGCGUUGCUGGAUAGCAAACCAAUCUUGGUUAGGGAUUGCUUUGGAGGAACAAAUUGGAGUUGGACUAGGAUCCUGAGCGAGGAGGCAACUCGUAUGCCUGGCCUGCGCCCCAUCCUCUUGGAACUCAAAGAGAGGGUUAGCAACUUCCAAAUAGGGAUUAGAGCGGACACGAUUGGGUGGAGAUGGGUUAGCAAUGAUAUAUUCUCCGUCAGAUCGACCUAUGGAAUGUUGAACGAUGGGGGUACAACUGUACAAGGGACAGACGUGCUAAAUUGAUCUGGAGACUACGUAUACCACUCAAGGUCAAAGUCUUCUGUUAAUUAGUCCUUAAGAAGAGAUCUCCUACAGCUGAGAACCUUGUGAAGAGAGGGUGGACCGGAGAUAAGACUUGCGUGUUGUGCAGGAUGUACGAUGAGUCGGUGGACCAUCUAUUCACGUAAUGCGUUUUUGUUAAGUUCUUAAUGGUAACAGGCAUUGAGGAUGUCCAGGCAGGGGAGUUGGGGGGCGAUGUGCACAUAGUCUGAGAUAGGUGGCAUGGGAGGAAUGGAGUACAGAAUAGGAGCAACGAACUAACCAGUUUGAUCGCAUGCUGAAGGAGCAUUUGGAAGGCUAGGAACAACAGUAUCUUCCGCGACAUUGAAUAGGACCCACUAAUAGCGGUGCAAAAACUCAAGCAUCUUAUUAUCUCUUGGAAAGACAUUCGGUAGUUUUUUUUUUUUUUUUUUUUUUUUUUUUUUNCACCCUUGUAACCUAAUUCAUCUUUCCAAUGAAAUGAAGCAGGUAGCGCGCUAUCUAUUCUGAAAAAAAAAAAGCCCCCCACCAAUCCGAUCCAAGCAGUGGCAUGUUUGUUUCAACGUAAGUAGACUUGGGGUGGAAGUGAACUUUGGAUUGAAGUGGAGUUGGGGUCAAAAUUAAUUCACUUCUGCUGUUUGUUUCUAACUGUGGAAGUGCAAUUCUACGAGUUCUGUUGUUUAUUUGGUAGGAAAUAGAUGACGUAAAAAAUGUAGCUCUCCAUCCCCGAUAUACUUACCUCCGAAGCGAUAUCAUUGUCUAUUUUGUAACUUAGUGAAUAAUAAAUUAUAAUAAAUAAGAAUUAAUAUAAUUAUAUAUGUAUAUAAUUAUAUAUAUAUAUAUAUAUAUAUAUAUAUAUGUAUAAUUAUAAAAUAAAAUUUUAAAAAAUUAUAUUAUUUGUUUGCAUAUAAAUUAUAAUAAUACAACAAAUAAAAUUCUAAAGUUAAAAAUUAUUAACACUUAAUAAAUUUAAUUUUGGGUGAGGGCGAAGUUAAUUAUCCUAUUUUGAAUGAACUCGAUUUUCGAUACAGCGUAAACAAUUUCUCCCCUCACCACUUCCCCCUCACUUUCACCCAAACAAACAUACCCUGUAGGUCAAACCACUGAGCUUCGACGAAGGAGCGCGCGCGGGGAAAUUCACUACCACUGCUUGGCAAAUUCAAGUACCACGCUCUCCCCGAUAAUUUGUUAUCAUUUAAUUACUGACACAUGGAUUAAAAAAUUCAUUUCGAUUUUUUCUUUUUCGUAAUCGACUCUCUCUCUCUCUCUCUCUCUCUCUCUCUCUCGAGUGGUUGUCCCCUUCAAUACCCGUUUUCCUCGUGCUGUUCAAAUUUCUCAAUUUUAAAUUCGCAUCUACUUUUUCUUUUUUUUUUAUUUUUCUCAUAAAAUGAAUACUUCCGCUUCGGAUUCCCCCCUCCCCCCCCCUCUCUCUCUCUCUCUCUCCCUAAUAAUGAUAUAAAAGAAAAUUAAGGUGCUCAAAAUCGUCGAAUUUUCGAUCCAUCGAAGAAGAGGAAGAGAUUAAGAAUACGUACGUGUAUACGUAUAUAUACGCGAUGUCGAAGGCCGCCGCCGUCGUCGAGCUCGACCUCCUCGGCCUCCACCCACGCCCCCCCGCCGCCGCCGCCGCCGGUCCACCCUCCUCUUUCCGCCGGAACAGCUCCUUCCGAGGUAUAUAUAAUCUCUCCCCCCCCUCUCUAUAUAUCUAGAUAUCUCUAGAACCUUCCAGAACCUUCUAGAACCCUCCGGAUCAUUUCCUUUACUGCUCGAUCCUCGCAGAGAUGCAGUGCGCGAUCGCGAGGAUGGAUCCCGCGGUGGUGAAGAGCGUGAUCGCGUCCGGAUCGCCGGGAUCGAACGCGGCGGCGACGGCGAUCUCCGGCGCGAGGUGAGCUUCGAUGCGCCUCGACGCGUUGCGAUCUAUGAACAAUAAUUAAUAACACUUCGUGUGUUUGUGUGUGUGUAUAUAUAUAUAUAUAUAUAGAGUGGAAGCAGGUGAUGAUACCGCGACUUCGCCAUUAACGAUCUUCUACAAUGGCACCGUGGGCGUCUUCGAGCUUACCCACGACAAGGUUUGUAUCAGCUUCGCACGUGCGAACAUGCAUAACAAUAAUCUGGCUAAAUUGCAGAGCACCCCCUAUCGUUGUACUAACUUCGUGACUACAACUUCUCUGAGGGGGAAAUGACUUUUAAUUGAUUCAUUAAUGAAACGAGAUGAAAAUAAGAUCUGAUUAAAAUUAUGGGAAAAAAAAAUUGACAGGCGAAAAAUAUCCUGAGAAUGGCAGCGGAAGCAAGUAAUGGAGGCAUUUCAGAAGCAUCGGAGGAAAAGAUGGUGUCAGGCGACAAUGAGGGUCUGAAUGGAGGUAAACAUAACAGCAACAAAAUGUGCAUAUAGUCUUUGUACUACUGUCGUAUUGCAACUCAGAGCCCGAUCCUUUCGCCUAAACAUAUGUUUUAGCUUUUUUUUUUUAAUUAAGAAAGAAAAUAAUUUUUUGAAUAAAUUAAGUCUUCUAUUUAAGCUGUUAAAAUAAAAAUUUUAUAUAUUAUAUAAUUAUUAAGAUGGUCGUUUUAGGAGAAAAUUAUGGAUAUUUCUUUGGUUAGAAAUAAAAGUGCAAUGCGUGAAAAACGUUGAAUUGGAAACUUCAAAGGCCGAGUUGUAAUAUUGGGAUAGUAUGGUGACUACCCAUACAUUUUGUCCACAAGAAAAUGGAGAAAUCUAAAAGGACAAGCCGAUUCAACUAUGUACUAUUUUUGAGAAAUUUUGAUUUCUAAAAAAUGUAAUUUGAAAUUAGUAUUUAAACUUUCAAAAUUUUGAUAUUAUAAAAUGAAAUUUCAAUUUAUUUAAUUUAAGUUUGUUUUUAUAUAUGGCUCUGAAAAUUUAUUUUUGCCUCACCUUAUUGCGCUGGUACAUUCUUGUACCAUGUCCUUGAAUGUUUUUAUAUCUUACUUUUUUUUUUCCAUGUACAAAUUGACUUAAAAUAGUCAGAUUAAACGCACUAGAUACAAUUAGCUAGGAAAUCACGCAAGUUGAAAACUUAGAUAAUAAAAGGGUUAAUUUCGUAUAGAUUCUUGCUAACAUAGUGGAUGAUAAAUAUAUUUCUACAAAAUUUGAUUUAAUAUGUUGUUUCUUCAAAAGUUUUAAUAUUUUCAAAUCUAUUUAUUUGCUUUAUUAUCGUUAUAGAACUAUUAUAUUUUCAAUUUUGGCAUCAUAAUUGUAUCCUUCCAAAAGUUAUAAUAAUAUAAAAUACGGGGAUAAAAACGUCAAAAAUUAACCAGAGUUAAGUAUUUAACUUAUGAAUAAAUUAAAAUUUUCUAACGGAUACUAACGGCAGAAACAUAUAUAUUUGAAAAUAUUAAAAUUUUUAUAGGAACAAUAUAUAAAAGCUGAAUUUUAUAAAAAAAUAUAUUUGUCAUUUACUAUAUUUGCAAAGAUCUGUAUGAAAUUAAUCUAUAGUAAAAUUAUUAUUUUUAAAGAUUUGAUAUUUAUUUUCAAAUUAAUAAUCCGAAAAUCGAGUUAAUUUUAUAAUUUUUUACUGGUUUUGAUUACACGUCAAGUUGCAUCUGAAAAUGAAAGGCGUUGGUUGGUUAGGAGAGCUGCCAAUCGCGAGGAGGAAGUCGCUGCAGCGAUUCCUGGAGAGGCGCAAGGAAAGGUUGGUUCUUCUACCCUCGAGUGUAUCUACCUUCUCUUCUUUUUAGUUCCUCAAAUUAUAAACCCAAAAAAAAUAAUAAUAAUAAAGUAAUUUAUCACGUGAACGUUGAUAAAAGUAUUGUAUGAACUUGGUAUAUUGCAUUAAUUCAAACUACGGACAAUUAAAAGCAAGAACUAUACUAUAUAUAUAUCCAUAGACAAAGUGUAUUAAAUCUACUCGUAUUUAUCACGUGAAUGUUGAAUAUAUAGCUAGGUAAAUUUAAUGUUGGUUUAGAAUUUCUAAAAAUAUGAUGUUCUGGUCAAAAAAAUACAAGGACUUGCAUAUUUAUUAAUGUCUUUUAUUAUUUCUUAUAUAUAUAUAUAUAUAUAUAUAUAUGCAUCCAGGUGCAUCCCCACACUUUGCAUUUAUCAACCAUCCAUGCAAUGAAGUUUAAGUCGCUGUUUUGUUGUAUAUAAUUAUAAAUACAUCGUAGUUAUAAUUAUCUGUAAAUUCAAAUUUGGAUAUUUAGUUUAAUGUAUACUUGCACUGUACAAAUUAACUGUUGCGCCAUGCGCAUAUAUAUUGCUAUAUAUUAACAACUUUUUAUAGUGUGCUUAGUUACCGUGCCGUGUAGCAAUGCUAUUCUUUAAUAAAAGAAGAUCCACUUUAAUUAGAGAAAAACGCAUGCAGAGCAUUAAUUACUUAAUUAAUUUAAUCUCUUUCGUUUGGGUUCUGAUCUAUGUUUAGUGGGGUGGGUGAUAAUAAAGAGGGACAAAGCACGUUUUCUACGGAACUAGCUAUGAAUAAAUAAUUAAUUAAGGUGGUCGGUUACGUAAACAUUUUUGAAUGCUUUUUGGAUUAUUCACAGUUGAAACUUGAAACUAAGGUGAAAACGACUUAAAGAAAUUUUAAAAAAAUGUGCAUAAUUAAUUAGGUCAAUUUAUUGUGCACGCCUUUUGAAAAUUGUUAUUUUAAAUUACUUUAUUCUCGAUGAUAGCCACGGAACUUUUCCUUCAAAAGAAAAAAAAAGCUUUUUGUGUUGAAAACAUAUAUUAACUUGAAUUACCUUUUUCUUUAGUAACAGGAUAAAGAAUUUGGCACGUGAUGAACAUUAAUUUAAUGGGUUGGGUGUCUUUGAAAUUAAGUACCUUUUUUUUGACCUUCUUACUUUUUUUUUUUUUUUUUUUUUUUUUUUUUUUUUUUUUUUUUUUUUUUUUUUAAUGCUUUGUUUCCCACCUGCCGACAAUAGUUGAACUACUCCUUUCUUUUUUUUCUUUUUUUUUUUUCUUUUUUUUUCUAGUUGUAUUUGUAGCAAAGGAGAAAUGAAGGAACAUGAAAAGAUAGAAAUUUGGGAAAACUUCAAAAACCCCCCCUGUGGUUUCAUACUUUUUCAUUUUAGUACCCUGUGGUUUGAAGUGUAUCAAGUUAGUACCCUGUGGUUUCUCACUUUAUCACUUUAGUACCCUGUGGUUUAAAAUGUAUCAAGCUAGUACCCUGUGGUUUUGCACUUUAUCACUUUAGUACCCUGUGGUUUCACACUUUAUCACUUUAGUAUCUUGUGAUUUAAAAAACUAUAGGGUACUAACUUGAUACAAAAUUAAAACCACAGGGUACUAAAGUGAUAAAGUGCAAAACCACAGAGUACUAACUUGAUACACUUUAAACCACAGGGUACUUAAGUGAUAAAGUGAGAAACCACGGGGUACUAACUUGAUACAUUUUAAACCACAGGGUACUAAAGUGAAAAAGUGUGAAACCACAAGGGGGGUUUUUGAAGUUUUCCCUAGAAAUUUUGACCCUUUAGUUAAUUAUUUUCAUCUGAGUUUCUUUAAUAAGGUUGUUGGAAUUAUAUUAUGUCCUCUUACAAAGAUUUGGAUAAGAGAAUAGAAAUAGAAUAGUAAUUUACAUUCACAAAUUUACUAAUUAGUACAGUUGGUUAGUAUUUCAGUCACUGACGAAAAAAUUUAAAAGAAAUUAAGAAAAAAGAAUAAGAGUCUUUUCUAUCUCUCUCAGUGUUCAUUAAAUUUAGGGUAAACUUCAGAUACCACUCAUAUGGUUUCACAUUUUCUAGCUUUAAUAUCAUAUGGUUUAAAGUGUAUCAAGUUAGUGUCCUGUGGUUUUAUUUUUAUCUUUUCGUCAGUUUUUUCGUUAAUAUUUUGUUAAAUUAUAUACAAAAAAUUUUAGAUACUCCACCUAAAUUUAUUGAAUAUUCACUUUAGUACCCUUUAGUUUUGAUGUAUCAAGAGGAACGGCAGAGAGGAGGAAGAAGUUAUAUUCAACAUAUUUUAUGGGUAAUAAUUUCUACUUUAUUAUGAACAACUUCUACUUCAUAAUAUAUAGGGAAAACUUCAAAUACCCUCUUUGUACUUUCAUUUUUUCUCACUUUAGAAUCUUGUGGUUUAAAGUGUAUCAAGUUAGGACCCUGUGGUUUUGUACUUUUUUAUUUUAGUACCCUGUGGUUUAAAGUGUAUCAAGUUAGUACCCUGUGGUUUCGCACUUUCUCACUUUAGUACCCUGUAAUUUCGCACUUCUCACUUUAGUACCCUGUAGUUUAAAAACCACAGGGUACUAACUUGAUACAAAAAUAAAACCACAGAGUACUAACUUGAUAUAAAAAUAAAACCACAGGGUAUUAACUUGAUACAAAAAUAAAACCACAGAGUACUAAGAAGGUUAUUCAUUUAUGACCGUUCAUUUUUCUAACUCUUCGAUGAACUUGAUAAUAAUUUUUAAAUAUUACAAAAUUUGGUUUCUAAAUAUUUCUAAUUGUGUAGAUCAAUUUCAACGGUGCCGAUUAUUAAUUUGAAGUUUCGAUCAUUCAAAACGGCUUGAUAGGACAAUGUUCUCAAUCCUAUCAAUAGGAUAGUAGAUGGACUCUAUAUACAUAUUGUUAAUAUCUCAUAACAAAUUGUGAAAAACAUACUAGAACCUGUAGCUAGAGUAUCUAUCAACAAAGGCUUAAUUUUGCUUAGUUUAGCUUCAUAUCAUGCAAAGAAUUUAUACAUAUAUAGAGAGAGAGAGAGUUUAGCUUCAUAUCAUGCAAAGAAUAUAUAUAUAUAUUUUCCACUAAAUGCUUAAUCAUUAUUUCUUAUUCAGGUUGCCCACCUAAAAACAAUCAUGUGUUUCUUACGCAGGUUGACCACCUAAACAAUCAUGUGUCCCUGGGAAAGCCAUGUUGAGUGCCCCUUCGUUCUUCUAAGAUCAUACUACGAAGGAUACUAAUUAGUUUAAUUCACUCUCAGCUAAUAUGUAAUUAAUAUUACUUUAGUUUGUUGUUAAUUUGUGUAAAAAAUAUAUCCAAAAUAUCCAACGGGUCACUCGCAUUUUGGUUAUCCUCCGUGAAAAAGUUCAUUAGAGCUAAAGUGUGUGUAUUUCUUGCGAACAUUUUAUGCAAUUAAACAGUUUUUUUUUUUACCACAAUUCAUGUCGAUGUAUACUGUGGAGCUCGUGUCCGAGGGACCCUUCAUCCAAUGCAGGAUUUUUGGGCUGUUACAAACUCUCUUCGUUUAGAUCCUUACAUCUUUAUAUAGGUUUGAACCCUCACAUUUUUGACUAGUAUUCGGAUGCUAAUUAUAACGAUUCAAUCCACUAUCAAUAAUAACUCGUUGAGUCCAAGUCAACGGUUCAAAAUAUUUAAAUUCAGUUCUUAAUAUUACGAGAGUACGUGACCUCUUGCAUUUCUAAUUAAAAUUCUUUUUUAUUCUGACAUGCAUAAGUAUCGUUUGGUUCGAGAAUAAAUUUUUUUUGGUUAUUCCUGGGAUAGGUACAACUUUGGAUAUAAGCGGGAAUAAGAUCAAUUUUACGUUUGGAUGAAAAAUGGGUUAUUUUCAAGAAUAAAAAAAAUAGUGUUUGGAUAGUUAGAUAGGAAUAAUAGGAAUAAAAGUGAUUAUAGUAGUUAAAUAAUAAUAUUAUAUAUAAUUAAUUAACAUCAAAAUAUUAAAUAAAUGAUAUUUAAAAAAUUAAUUAACUAAUUUAUCAUGAAUAUUAUUAGAUAAUCAUAAAUAUUAAUUAAUAAAUUAAUUAUGAGAUUAAUUAAUCAUUAAUCAAUUAACCAUGAGCACCGUUAAUUAAUAGAUUAUCUAAUUAUAAAUAAUUUGACGAGUUAACAAAUUAAGCUAAUAAAUUAAUAUAUUAGUAAAUUGCUUAUUUAUUUAUUUAAUUAGGUAAUUAGUUAUAUUGGUCAAAAUAUUAAUUUAUUAAUCAAUAAAGAUAUUAGUUAUUACAUAAACACACUAAUAAAUAAUUAUUAAUUUAGCUAAUAUUUUAUUAUUAAAUUAGUUAAUUAUUAAUUUAGCUAAUUAAUUAAUAAAAUAAUAUAUAAUAUAUUAGUUAAUAAUAUUUUGUUAUUAAAUUAGUAGAGGUAUAAACAUAAGAAAUUGUUAUUCCACCAAAAAGAUAGAACAAUAAUUUCCCCCACUAAACGGGUUAUUCUAAAAUAACCCAUUAAGAGGGGAUUAAAUAAACUCAUUUCCUCUUUUAGUGUUUGGAUGAAUUAGAGAGAUAAAAUGCUCUAUUUCUACAUUAUCUCCCAACCAAACACUUUCUUAGAGAGUUUGUUUGGCUCAUCUCGUAAUGCUUUGUACUAUCGGACUUUCCAAAAGUAUCACCAAAUAGCGAGUUGUCACACCCACCGUAGGGCCCCAAGUCUAGAUUACACCAUUUGUUUCAAGUCAAUUAUUGAAACUUGAAAUUAUUCCACAACAGAUAUCGUGGUGCGCGCGUACAAUAUGUAUAGUUCAUGCAUAGAAAUUUCUUACUCACGAAGCCAACCUGCCACACUUUUACACAGAAUAAUUUCAUUACAAUUUGUCGGAUGUCGACGGCUGCGAAGCAUCCCACGAUAAGUAUGCGACGAAUAUAUUGUCCAAUGUGCAGAUUUUUUUUAACUCUAAUUCUGUAGACAAAUUAUAGUUGAUGAACUUAUUGAGCACCGUUUGGAAAAUUACUGCCGAAAAAUAAAACUUUAAUUUAAUAAUUUAGAAUUCAAAAUAAUAAAGAAAUGGUGUCGUGGUGUAGUUGGUUAUCACGUCAGUCUAACACACUGAAGGUCUCCGGUUCGAGUCCGGGCGACGCCAGUCUGCACUUUUUUUCUUUUAGUGAAAAGCUGGUAAAUUUUUUUUUAGAAAUGUUUGAUGGAAAACCAUUUACACGACACAGAUCUAUGUUUUAGUAAAAAAAUGGUUUUUCUAGGGAUUUUUUUAUUUUUUUUUUACCUCAUGAGAUCUGGGAAGAAAUUUUUUUUAUACUACACAGAUCUAUGUUUUAGUGAAAAACUGGUUUUUCUAGACUUUUUUUUUUUUUUUUACUUCAUGAAAUUUGGAAAUAAAAUUCUUUUACACUACACCGGAUCUAUGUUUUAGUGAAAAACUGGUUUUUCUAAGAAUCAGACGAACGGAAAAUACUUUUCUAGCCAAAAAAUUAUUUUUUUUUGAAAUAUUUUAUGGAAAACCGAACAUUCUCUUAGCUACCGUUUGGUUCGGGGUUAAGGAAAAAUUAGUUAUUCCAGGGAUAGGGUUAAGUUCAAGAUUAAGGUGGGGUUAGAGUAUUUUUGUGUUUGGUUGGGAGUUGGAGUUAGUCCAGGAUAGUGAAAAAUAGUGCUUGGUUGGAAUAGGUGGGAUAAGAAGGAUAGUGGGUUAUUAUGAAUAGAAAAUAGUAUUUGGUUUGGGUUAAGUGGGGUUAGCUAACCCGGGAUAGCCCAUUUGAGGUGGGGUUAGCUAACCCCACCUAUUUUUGGGGUGUUUGGGAAU